rnacentral:rRNA from 1 species
GAUGUACGCUGGCGGCGUGCCUAAUACAUGCAAGUCGAGCGAACGGACGAGAAGCUUGCUUUUCUGAUGUUAGCGGCGGACGGGUGAGUAACACGUGGAUAACCUACCUAUAAGACUGGGAUAACUUCGGGAAACCGGAGCUAAUACCGGAUAAUAUUUUGAACCGCAUGGUUCAAAAGUGAAAGACGGUCUUGCUGUCACUUAUAGAUGGAUCCGCGCUGCAUUAGCUAGUUGGUAAGGUAACGGCUUACCAAGGCAACGAUGCAUAGCCGACCUGAGAGGGUGAUCGGCCACACUGGAACUGAGACACGGUCCAGACUCCUACGGGAGGCAGCAGUAGGGAAUCUUCCGCAAUGGGCGAAAGCCUGACGGAGCAACGCCGCGUGAGUGAUGAAGGUCCUCGGAUCGUAAAACUCUGUUAUUAGGGAAGAACAUAUGUGUAAGUAACUGUGCACAUCUUGACGGUACCUAAUCAGAAAGCCACGGCUAACUACGUG